UACAGAGGGUGCGAGCGUUAAUCGGAAUUACUGGGCGUAAAGCGUGCGUAGGCGGUUCGUUAAGUUCGUUGUGAAAGCCCCGGGCUCAACCUGGGAAUGGCAAUGGAAACUGGCGGGCUGGAGUAUGGCAGAGGGGGGUGGAAUUCCGCGUGUAGCAGUGAAAUGCGUAGAGAUGCGGAGGAACACCGAUGGCGAAGGCAGCCCCCUGGGCCAAUACUGACGCUCAGGCACGAAAGCGUGGGGAGCAAACAGG
rnacentral:rRNA from 1 species